UCUCACUGUUGAUUUGAUGAACUUUUUCCACUGUUUUUUAAGUUCAAUUAUUGCAACAUCUUUCCAGAAGUCAACGAGUAAUCGUGCUAAAUGAUCGUGAUUUCCAUAUUGAUCAAAAAUCGUGAUUAUGUUUUUUCCCAUA